rnacentral:rRNA from 1 species
GAUUCCCUUAGUAACGGCGAGCGAACAGGGAUAAGCCCAGCGCCAAGUCCUGAUGCUUGACGUAUUCAGGAGAUGCGGCGUUUGUGUACUGGUGCAUCACAUGUUGCUUGGUGCUUCAAAUUCCUUUGACAGGGAUUCCCGUAGUGGGUGCUAGGCCCAUAGAGGCUGCCAAGCUGGCAUGUGCAGAUCAGUGCAUCUUAGAGUCAGGUUGCUUGARAGUGCAGCCUAAAGCAGGUGGUAAACUCCAUCUAAGGCUAAAUAUUACAGCGAGACCGAUAGCAAACAAGUACUGUGAAGGAAAGUUGCAAAGAACUUUGAAGAGAGAGUUCAAAAGGACGUGAAACCACUGGCAGGUAAACAGGUAGAACCACGAAGUGUGUUCAAAAGGCAAUUCAAUUAGCAUUUGUGAUUGGCUGUGUUUGUAAGUUGAGUCUUUUCGAAGACUAUGCAAAUGCCGUCGGCGAUCACUUAUGUUGAUGCAUUUUGUCCUUUUGACGAGAAGCCACGUCUGACUAGGAGGUUGGAAUGGCCGUAGUGAGUGAUUCAAGGAAGGUAGCCGUGCUGUGUCUUGUAUGCAUCAUGGUGUUAUAGCUUUGAGUCCGUGCCAUUGCCUAACGUGCUGGUCAGUGCAAUUGUUCCUAAUGGAAUAUUGCUAGUAAUGGUCAUGUAUGCCUGCUGUUACAAUGUSCUGCUGCUCGGYUAUUCUUUCGACAUUUUUGGAUGCGUAAAGGUAGCCUUGUUGAUAUUGGKGCAUUAUAAUGGUUGUCGCAUGAUAUGGCUGAAUGCAAACUGUGGUGCGAGUAGGUCGGUCUCUACCUGRCCCGUCUUGAAACACGGACCAAGGAGCCUAACAUAUACGCGAGUCGCUCGGUCUUGAANAGGCCAGAGAGGCGCAAUGAAAGUAAUGCUACGAAGUUGUUUCUUYUUAGAAGCGACUGCAGUAGCGGCCCGCCGGCUUUCUUUAUUGGGGAUAUGGCGGAGCUGGAGCGUAUACGUUGGUACCCGAAAGAUGGUGAACUAUGCCUGGGCAGGACGAAGCCAGAGGAAACUCUGGUGGAGGUCUGCAGCGAUUCUGACGUGCAAAUCGAUCGUCAGACCUGGGUAUAGGGGCGAAAGACUAAUCGAACCAUCUAGUAGCUGGUUCCYUCCGAAGUUUCCCUCAGGAUAGCAGGCGCUUGUUAAAUCAGUCUCAUCCGGUAAAGCUAAUGAUUAGAGGUCUUGGGGUCGAAACGACCUCAACCUAUUCUCAAACUUUAAAUGGGUGAGAUGCUUGACUUGCUUGAUUUGAAGCCAAGCAAUUGGAUGUAAGUGCCUAGUGGGCCAGCUUUGGUAAGCAGAACUGGCGCUGUGGGAUGAACCAAACGUUGAGUUAAGGCAUCUAAUGCAUACGCUCAUCAGAUCCCAUGAAAGGUGUUGGUUGCUAUAGACAGCAGGACGGUGGCCAUGGAAGUCGGAAUCC